GCGUGGGGGAUGAAGGUCUUCGGAUUGUAAACCCCUGUUGAGAGGGACGAAGGCUUGCGGGCAAACAGUCCGUACGCUUGACGGUACCUCGAGAGGAAGCCCCGGCUAACUCUGUGCCAGCAGCCGCGGUAAUACAGAGGGGGCGAGCGUUAUUCGGAAUUAUUGGGCGUAAAGGGCGCGUAGGCGGCUAAGCAAGUCUUGGGUGAAAUCCCUCGGCUCAACCGAGGAACUGCCUUGGAAACUGCUUGGCUUGAGGCCGGGAGAGGGUGGUGGAAUUCCCAGUGUAGCGGUGAAAUGCGU
rnacentral:rRNA from 1 species